ensembl:lncRNA
UCUGCGCCCACAGCUUCCGGUACUGUGCCUCCCUUUAAAGUGAUGACAACAACUGGACACAGACACUCCACAGACACUCUAUGUUGCAUAGAGCUCAGUGAUGAGGCAAUGAUGUCAAGUAUUGCGAAUGCAAAAGCAGCCAUCAAUUCCAGCACAAGGGCUUCUGGGAUUCCUUUUGUGGAGACUAAGGGCGAUUACGUCAAACCAAGCUACGUGAGCUCCGUGAUUCGUGACUCUUCACGACAGAAUUUAUACUUGGACGCUCUCCAGAUGGCUAAGGAGGACUAAAGUGGGAUUCUGCUUUCAGCCUGUGGUCUGGCUGUUUGAAUGGGAGCUUCUCACACUCUUGUUCGAGUCUUCCACAAACGAAGUUGUCAUCUCUGACCAUGCACCAUUGGUGCCGCUCUUUGUAUGGAGCCGGUACUCCAGUAUUUAACUCUUUGCUGUCUCAAACACAGUGACCAGUGCAAGAGCAGCGUGUGGAAUCUCCAGUGGCCUCAGACCAAUGUAACAGAUCCCUGAACUGAUGUGGCCCUACUGGUAGAAAUGUGUGAUGUGUAAAGGGACAAACAGGUGUAACAUAUGCAAUAGUUGAGACCUUUACUCCAAUCUGUUCCACAGUCUGCCAUAUUCUUUUAGACACUGACUGACUGCAGUGCACCCUUGACAUCUCCAGCCCCUUGCCUGCAUCUCUAGCUGAGUGAUGAAGCUGUGCCUCAGUUACUUUCUGCCUCAUACAUGCCCUGUGGGGGUAGUACUGACAAAAGGAAAGUCAUUUGCCUUGGGUUUUUUUUAAGUCAGGUUAAUUGGUAAUAGUCACUGAUUACUGUAUUUACAAUGGAUGUAGCUUUGUGGGCAGAUAACUAGCCUGAUAUAAGCAAUGCCAAAUAUAAACAGAACCAGGAGGCAUCAAAGCUGGCUGGAAAUCUGACACAUUUUCGCCGGAUUUGACAGAUACACUUGUAGCUACUCUUCCCAAGCUGUAGGCUUUUGUUAACCUAACUGUUGAAUGAGUUGUAAGGCUAACAGAGAACUAAUGGCUUACACAUCAAAGUGUGUUUUACCAUUUCAAGUACAGCUACAAUGUUCAUAAAACUUGAGAAAAGUUGGCAAAAAUGCUUUCUUGUGGAGUUGCGUAUGUUUGUCGCAGGCUAGACACAAAUCUCCAACCUUGCUGUCAGUGGUCAAAGCACCAGGUUUCUGAAUGUUUCUGAAACCCAUGACUGACAUCACGACGUGCACAAUAUUGUAGUCCAUUUACAUCUCCCGGAAAUUUUUUUUGUAAACUUUAUUAAUUCCCAGUUAAAGCCGACGACUCCAGUGGUGGAACAGUUCAGUUAACGAAUGAACUGGAAACACUUCUGAAUCAUGGAGUGUAGUUUUUGUUUGAUCCACUUCUGAUUAAAGAAUGUUUGUCACUGAUUUUUAUUAUUGCUCCCCUCUAAAGACAAUUCAAGGUUUGAACCAAACUGUGCUUUUAGAGAAUUGUUGUUGUGCUAAUAAAUGCUAGGUGUUUGCAGGGAAGACAACUGUGUGCAAUGAGAAAGAUGAGAUCUCUUGUUCUGCUUCUAAGUGUUGGGAUUAAUUGUUCAGGUUUUUGUGAAUCUAUAGUUCAUACUGAAGCCAGUUGCACCAGCUGUUCAUGAAUUCAAACUUAGCCCUGUGUUUGCUAAGUGGCACUUUAUGCAAGAUGAAACUACAACUGGUUGCAGCACAAUGACAGUUUCUGCACAGAGAUUAGUUGUUACUAAAUAUUUAUACCCACUAACCACCAUGUGUAACUGGCAUACAGCUAAGUGAACAAAGCAACAAAACCAACAGCUUAAAAAGAAAAAGCUAACAUGAAAGUCUUUAAAUUCACUUCCUACUACCUGGCAGGCAUUUUGGGAAUUCUCCUGGGAGUUAUUUGGAAUCAUCCAAGGCCGUUUAAAAUAAUUGGGUAAAGAGCUGUGAAUGCAAAAAAAGUUUAAAAGGUCUGACAACUUUGCCCCAAAAUAAGGUUUAAAAGCCAUUAUUUUUAUUUUAAGCAUAGAAGGUACACAACAGUUUUCAAAGCACAAACAUAAUACUAAUACUUGGCAGAUUUAGGGGUGGCUGUGGAGUGAGAACGUGUUGCUGUGGCUCAAGAAGUAGAGCGGGUCAUCUAGCAGUUAGACGUUCGAUCCCGUGCUCCUCCAGUCUGCAUGUGGGAGUAUCCUCGGACAAGAUACUGAACCCCAAUUUGUCCCUGAUGCAUCCGUGUGAGCAUGUCGAUAAAUGUUAGCUAAAUAGCAACGCCUGUUCCUAUGUGAGCAGGUAGGUUUGGCUGUCUUUCUUACCUUAGCAAAUCAAAUCAUACUUUAAAGAGUGCAACUUGUAUUUACUCAGGCUGUCUUUGUCUAACAUUUGCUUGAUGAUCUGGAACCUGUCGUGUGACAAAUAUGCAAAAAUAAAUAAAUGAGAAGGCAGCACAUACUUAAAUUGCAUGGAUACAGAGAAAAUGGAGCAACAGAGUGUUUAGGAAUACAGUCCCUAUUAGUCCACCUGAGCGCCCUAUAUGAAUUCCCCAAAGAACUGGACAAACUCAAGUAAUUUCCAGCAUAAGGAUUGUUUUUAACUCAUGAACACAGGCAUCCAAUAUUGAUUUUGACCCUUGCAAACAGAGAUUUCUCUAGGUGCUCAGAGUCUUUUGAUGAUAUUGUGUACUCUUGAUGAGAUAUUGAGCAUCUUCAUAAUGUUACGCUGAGGAACGCUGGUCUUAAACUGUUCCACAGUUUGUAAAUGUGCUUUUUUUGCAGAUUGGUGAACCUCUGCAUAUCUUCACUUCUCAGAAUAUUUAUUUAAAUUAUACACAGUUUCCGUGUAAAGACAUUAAGUCGUCACUUACUUGCGGCUUUUGACAAUGGUACAGCUACCUCCGUGAGAGUGUUCUUGACUUGACUUGUGUUUUUCUUAACCAAGAAAAUAUUUCUGUCAUUAUCCACUGGAAUUUUUUGGACAAAAAUCUGUCAUUCUUCAAAACCAGUUUACCUAACUAAAUGAAGAGUUGGUGCAACUCAGUCAGGCCAGUUUCCAAAAAGCUUUAGGUGGAUAGCCACCAGAGGGUGGUGGUAAAGUAUACAUAAAAAUAUAUUCAAUCACAUUGUUAGUUUAGUCAGAUUUGCAGUGUAAGCAGCAGACGUUGGUUUAUGUCUAGACUGGGUUUAUGGGUACAGAGCAUCAAACUUUGACAUAGGAAAUAAGAAUUUCUGUUUAAUGUUUGUGUUUAGGGUUAAUAAAAUGCAAUCUGUCGUUACUUAAUUGCCUAAUCCCCACCAUACCCUUACCCAGUGACAAUCUUUCCCUAACCUGGCCCUCACUGGUCUGUGUCCUGCUGUGUGCAGAUGUAGGUAUUUAAAGCAAGAUAUAUUUUUUUUUGUCAUUGUUGCCACUCUACAUUGUCUUACUGUGCUUCUCUAUCGUCCACCCAAAGCAUGCUGGGAUAGAAUCCACCUUCUGGUCCAGAGUAGGACUGAUGUGUGUGUCAAUUGUCCACAUCUUAUCGUGUGAAAGAUUUUCACCACAGCGGAACUUUUCACCUUCAUGAACCAUCAGCAACUCAAGUAGACGUGUGUGAGAUGAGUUGGCUGAAAUCACUUUCCAGGUAUCACAUUUGGGGCUAAUUUGGGCUGUCGGGUCACUGACAGCCAAUCUAGGGUUAGAGUUAGGGUUGGUUAACAUGCGCCCCUUUUUGUACAGUUUGUGCUUGCUUAGAACACCCAGAAUGAUUGUAAUGCCAAAACUAUGUGACUUCAUUGAAAACGUGUCAUCUGCUAGUGUCUGACUUUUUGCCUAUUUAGCAUGCAGCUCAAACUCAACCCAAGCCUAACCCUAACCCCCAAUGUGUCACCAGUGACUUGGUGGAAGAGUUUAAGGCUCAGCUGUGGUGCCAGCAAAUGUGGUGUGAAUCAGAUAUGGCCCAGAUAUCACAGAAUGCUGAACUUGUAGCCAAACUCACCCUGGGUCAACACUGUUGUUACUCACAAAUCAACUACAUGUCAAAGUUUGACACAUAGCAAAGAUCCCUGACUUCAGCGGCCUGUCAAAUUUUAGGCUUCUUUAUUCCCAACAUGGUGUGAUGUUUGAAAAGCUGACUAUAUCUCCAGAAUUUCACUUUUUUUAUUUUCAUUUAAAAUACUGUCAUGAAUUCGCUUCCGUAUAGAGGAGAAAAACUGCAGUGAUAGGUUCCACUAAAGAAGAAUCCAAAGAACUUUGAUUGACACAAAUUUGAGAUUUUUGGAGAUUACCCACACUUCUGUGAGUCAGAUCGAUAAUUACUCCAGUUUUUGUUUGGUGUGGCAACAUCUUGUCCACACAUCCCAACACACACAAGGACAAGGCUGUGAUUUAGUUGCUCUCCUCAUCCUUUUUCUACAAUCGUUUGUACUCUUAUUUAUACAGUAUUGUAUUUAUAAGCAAGGGGAAGUCCUGAAACUUUCCUUGAAUGUUUUCUUUCUAUUUUAUUUUGUAAUCAUGUAAUUAGGAGGAUCAGUGGAAGAUUUUGCCUUUGAAUUUGAAGCCUUUGGGUUCUUAUUUGUGUCUUUUCUAUUCUAAAAUAAGCUGGCUGAUUUUUUUUGGUUUUCUGCGGGGAAACUGUGAUGUUUGUUCCCAUUUGGCUCCUCUUUUUCUGUUCACCACUUUUGCUGGUGGCAUUAUUGAGGUUAAUGUCAGCUGUGGCUCACUCUGUUAGAAAUGUCAGAGCCACAUGAAUCCAGGAAGCACUCUAUUCUUUGGGCAGUUAAUGAUUUUUGUAUGUGCUUUGGUGAACAUGUAAAGAGAGCUUACUGAUUUGUUGUUUUUGUUGGGUUGAUAUGAUGAAUGCAUACAUCAUAACACUGAUAUUUAUUGUGGGAAAGGAAUGAUUACAAAUGUUCCAGUAACACUUAUCUGUAAAUGUGCUGAUAGAAGCUAUACAAGUUUAAACAGAAUAUAGGAAAAGUAAAUGAUGAUGGGCUGUCUACUGACAGGGAAGGUGGUGACACUAAAACAUGGAUAUUUUCUUUUGUUUCCAGUUUCAUGUGUGGUUACUAUACAUGUAUGUACAUAAUGUUAAAGUUCAUAUUUGACUGAGAACAGGUUUCUAAAUACUCAGGCUGUUCUAUUGCCCCACCUUACCAUAUGGAUCUUAAUAAAAUGGUCACUUUGUUACUGCUGUGUGUAUUCAUUCUACAGACAAAGGGGUGAAAAAUGAAAAGGUUCACUGUCGAUCUUUGAUAAAAGGUUUUUAUUUUUUAUAAGCCUUAUAUUACAUAUUAAGUAGAGAUAGUCCUCAAAUUCAUGUGUGCCCUGAAUACAGGUAAGAAGGUAUUGGAUAUGAGACCUAAAACCCACCUGGAAGUUCCCCACUCAACAUAAAAACUGGACUGGUUCUUAUAAAGUACUUUUCUACUUGAAUACUCAAAAAGCAUUUUAUACAACAUAAACAGUUUUCUAUAUCUAAGGGCUUUCUGUAUAACGUUCACACACAUUCACACUCUGAUGAGUGUAUCAUUCAGUAUCUUAGCCAAGGACCACCACCAACCAUCCACUCUGCUUCCUGAGCCUUCCUCUGUAGAUGCUUUGUUUCUCUUUCUAAUCUUCUUCGUCUCUUUCUACAUGUUUUGUUUCUUUGUGUAAUUACUUGCGUGCCUUUAUUUCUCUUUUGUUAAGUUAGCUUUUCUGUUGCUUUUGUUCUUUGUAGUUUACAUAUCAUUUGUGUUGCUUUUUAAGAGACUUACAGUUCUAUCAAUAUUUAUUAUUAAAAGCAAUAGAAAUGUAUACACUGUAUGCAUUUUUUUUAUAUUAAAAGGGACGUGAAAACUGGUCCCGCUAUA